CUUUCCCCGGUUUCCCCUUUGCCCUUCUCCGGCCCCUCCUCCUCCACGGUGGCUGAGCUGAAGUGCAGGCGUUUCUCCGGACUGAUUUAUUAGCCUCAUCCUGUAAUUAUCCUUGAUGUUGGGGGCUGGGCUCAUUUGGUGACCUGCCUGAGGGCCCUGGGAAGGAAAGUCAUUAGGCUAUGCAAAGCCUGCUACCGACCCCAUCUGUCCCUGCAUCUGCCUCGCCCCUCCGCGGGCUCGGGGGAAAAUACAAUGUGAGCCCGGUCUGGGGCAGGAUAGUCACCGGGAUCCGCCCGGGUAACUUAGUUGAAGCCAGGAGGAGAGACAGGAAUGGUCACCCACCCUCCCUGUGUGUUGCAGCCUUCUGUUUCUAACCACUCCUAUCCAGCCUCCACGUGGCUCUCUCCCUGGACGCCCUCCCCCUGGAAAAGGAAACAAACCAGCAUAGAACAGAAGUUUCAGAUGUGUGGUGACCCAGGCAGUUUAAACAAACACAUCCCUCAGCUUUCAAUAAAUGUUUAGUCAUACUGACUGGCUUGCAGGGAAGUCCAAGGCCUGGGAGUACUGGAGCUCUUGACCUCUGUUUGGACAAAGGGGGAAAUACUUCUCAAGGCUUGGUUUUCCCUGCUUAUAAAUGGAUAAAACCUUUUGUUUUCCCUACCAGGAAAAUAGUGAGGAAAAGGAAUUAAAAAGCAAAACAAAACAAACAACAAAGAGGUUAGGCCCUUUAUGACAAUAAGGAACUAAGUGACAAGUGUGGGAUCAUAGAACUGGAAUGGUCCUUUUGAAUCAUCUAAUUCAUUUUACAAAAAAAGAAGAGUCUCAGAGGGAUCAAGUCAUUUAUACAGGGUCACCCAGAUGAUCCAAUGGCAGAACUGGGCUUCAAACUCAUGUUUUCAGACUCUAAAUCCAGCAUUCUUUUCCCUCUAAAUGAGAUUAGGGAGUAGGGAAUAUCAUACUUUAUUUCUCUCCCAUCCAUUCCCCAUGACCCCCCAUCAACACUUUUUCUUUUAUUUUUUUCCCUCCUUUUGUCUUUUAUUUUCAUCCUGGUUUCCCACUGCCUCCCCCCCCCCCCCCAAUAUUUUCUUUUCCCCAUUACAUGUAAUAACAAUUUUUUUAAAAACACAAACACAUUUUCAACACAGGUCAAACCAGAAUCCCAGUCUUAUGGGAGGGGAGGGAAAGAAAGAUAUAAAGACCAUGAAUAGCUGCAAUGUGAAGGAUCUGUGGAACCAGAUACAGUCAGAGCAAGAAGGAAUCUUAAAGAUUAUCUAGUCACCCUCCCCCCUCCAUCAUUCUGGAAGGGAGAACUUGGGCCCAGAAAAGCAAUACAUCUCAGCUCUUGUGCUUCAAGGAUUACAGGUACUUGAUGGGGUUGAGCAAGUGAAGAGAAUAUUGGAUUAUGCCUUGAGGAUUAUCUCUUCCAGCCAUUCCCUGCUUUCUACCCAAAUAACCAUCACCUUUUUGAGGCCCUUAUUAUCUCUUGUUUAGUUUAUUGCAAUUACCUCCUAAUCGGUCUCUCUGUCUCAAAUCUCUCCUGCACACAGCUUAAUGACACAGUGGAUAGAGAGUUAGAUAACCUAGGAAUCAGGAAGAUCUUAGUUCAAAUUAAACCUCACUAGGUAUGACUUUGGGCAAGUCACUUCACUGCUGACUUCCUCACUUUCCUCAACUGUAAAAUGGUGAUUUUUAUAAUAAGUUAUAUUAUAAUACAUACCUCCCAGGGUUGCUGAGAGGGUCAUUUGUAAAAGCAUUUGUAAAGUCCCUGGCACAUAAUUGAUACUUGAUAAAUGCUUGUUUCCUUCCUUCUAUGCAGUUGUCAAAAUGAUUUUCCUAAAAUAUAUGUUUGACUGUGUCACUGCUACUCAGUAAACACUAAUGGUUCCCCUU